UUUUCUUCCCUUUCUCUUCUCACUUCCAUCUCUCUUCACUCUUUCUCCCUCUUUCUUUGAUUUCUCUGCUCUCUGAGUCCGACGCCUUUUCUUCUCAUCUCUCUGACCUGGCUCUUCAGUUUCUCUCUUCUGUCUCCCCCUCCCUUCUUUCAAUCUCUUUCCUGUGUCUCUCCACCCCCUCCGGUUCUCCCCGCUCACUGGCCUCCCUCCCUCUGCACUUUGCCAUGACAGGCCCCUGCAUCCUCACCCUGAGGGCUCCUCUCUCGCUUUGCCUCCCUCUGGAGCCCUCGGUGCUCUGAAGUUUCUAAGUUCUGAGCAGGAGGCAGGAGUCUACCCAGGGAUCCUCACAGGUUUUGUGGCAGGAGGUGGGACAGCCCACAGCAAGGCUGCCAAGCCAGAGGUACCCAGGUGGGAGGAACUUUGUGACAUCCAUUUUCUCUCUCUUUCCUGUCUGUCCUGGACUCUGGACACCACCUGGAGGAAUCAGGCUUGCCCCAGGCCCAGGAAGAAGAAAACGAGGGACAGGCUCAGAGACAGGGAGCGAGGUGCUCAGAGACACACAGCAUGCAGCAUGGAACACAUCAGCGCUGGGAGGACCUCACCCAACUCCAAUUUCACAGAUGAGAAAAUAGGCGCCCGGUGUUCCUGAGAACCAGCAUCUGUUAGGACACAGGCUUCCUGGGAACCCCAAACUUCCGGAAGGACCACCAGUGCCCAGGACCACAUGGGUCUGCAUAAGGCCUGAGAGACAUUCUCGGAUUAAGUGGAAUCCUCUAUCGCCACCUAGUGGCAAAGGAUGGAACUGCAACCCGGCUAUAUUAGACACUUGGGUAUGGUCCCAGCAAAAGACAGUGACUAAGAAUGUGGGAAUAGGUGGGGCGAGGGGGCGGGGGAGGCGCGCUGGUCGGAAACGGGGAGGGGAAUUUUGCAAAUUCCUGUAAAAAUUAAAAAAAAAAUACUCCUUGUCAAUAUA